rnacentral:ncRNA from 2 species
AUCCCAUCCAAGGGGAGGUCCGGCAGGGACCUGAGAGGCCGACGGGAGCGAUCCGCGCGGCGACCCUUCGAACCUGAUCCAGUUCAUACUGGCGUAGGGAUGGGAAGCCGGACAGCG